CUUUUUAAUAGCAAAACUUUUGGUGGAUUUCGGUGGCCAUUUGGCCAAGAUAGGUCCUGAAACUUCACAUCCACCCUAUUUUAACCCUUCUAAACACAAUUGAAACAUUAAUUUUUACAAAUUCAAACCCAAAAUGGUACUUUGACUUCGGAACCUAGGUUGGUAGUCUACAGCAUAGGUGAGCUCUACCCUAGGCUAUUCCACA